AUGAACGCUAGCGGAGGCUUAACACAUGCAAGUCGAGGGGCAGCAUAGGGUAGCAAUACUCUGAUGGCGACCGGCAAACGGGUGAGUAACGCGUAUGUAACCUACCCUGUACAGGGGGAUAACCCGGAGAAAUUCGGACUAAUAUCCCAUAACAAUAUCCGGGGGCAUCUUUGGAUAUUUAAAGUUCCGGCGGUACGGGAUGGGCAUGCGUAACAUUAGCUAGUUGGUAAGGUAACGGCUUACCAAGGCUUUGAUGUUUAGGGGUCCUGAGAGGGUGGUCCCCCACACUGGUACUGAGACACGGACCAGACUCCUACGGGAGGCAGCAGUGAGGAAUAUUGGUCAAUGGGCGCAAGCCUGAACCAGCCAUCCCGCGUGCAGGAAGACGGCGCUAUGCGUUGUAAACUGCUUUUCCAGGGAGAGAAACUUGCGCACGUGUUGCGCAAUUGACGGUACCCUGGGAAUAAGCAUCGGCUAACUCCGUG
rnacentral:rRNA from 1 species